AUCCAGUGGCUGAUGAGUCCCAAAUAGGAUGAAAUGCGCAUCCUGGAU
rnacentral:hammerhead_ribozyme from 1 species